AUCUUUCUGGGCCAUGACACAGCUAGUAAGGUUCUAGUCGAGACGCGUCUAUUGCUAGUUGAAAACUAAUUCCGAACCCACUCUUCGGCUUUGGUUCGCCUCUAGCCAUUGAGAAUAAAACACAUAUAAAUGA
rnacentral:snRNA from 1 species